GUAUGUGUACACAAGUCUACACAUGUGUACAGUAGAAGCCCUUUAUCGAUACGCCGCUGCGUUUUUCACCCUCUCACACCAUCUCAACACAUCACGACUUUUGAAGUGAACUCAGCCGCUUUAAUGCAGGGAACGGGACUUGAUCUUUCAGUUGCAGCGGAUUCACUUGGCACCGAAUGAACGGUACACCCACUUCUUCGAGUAGUUCUCCCCUCCGAUCAGCUUUGAUGUGAAAUGUCCAGCGUGGAAGCAAGAUCCGGGGCAGGGAGAAACGUCUCCAUCAACGUUAUCCCACUUGGGUUUUCUCAAAUCAAAAUAAGUUGUAAAUUCACAAAUUAAACAUUGGGUUUGGUUUACCGAUUUUUACACAA